AGACACGCUGCUCUUAGGAAGCAGUGCUCAAGCAUCUCGGUUCGAAUCCGAGUGGCGGCA
rnacentral:tRNA from 1 species